rnacentral:rRNA from 1 species
AGCGGGAAAAGCUCAAAUUUAGAAUCUGGCAGUCUUUGGCUGUCCGAGUUGUAAUCUAGAGAAGUGUUAUCCGUGCUGGACCAUGUAUAAGUCUCCUGGAAUGGAGUGUCAUAGAGGGUGAGAAUCCCGUCUUUGACAUGGACUCCCAGUGCAUUGUGAUGCGCUCUCAAAGAGUCGAGUUGUUUGGGAAUGCAGCUCUAAAUGGGUGGUAAAUUCCAUCUAAAGCUAAAUAUUGGCGAGAGACCGAUAGCGAACAAGUACCGUGAGGGAAAGAUGAAAAGAACUUUGGAAAGAGAGUUAAACAGUACGUGAAAUUGUUGAAAGGGAAACGCUUGAAGUCAGUCAUGUUGGCUGGGGAUCAGCCCUGCUCUUUUGCUGGGUGUAUUUCCCAGUUGACAGGUCAGCAUCAAUUUUGACCACUGGAGAAAGGCUGAGGGAAUGUGGCAUCUCUGGAUGUGUUAUAGCCCUUAGUUGUAUACAGUGGUUAGGAUUGAGGAACUCAGCACGCCGCAAGGACGGGUUUUGCCCAAGUUCGUGCUUAGGAUGCUGGCAUAAUGGCUUUAAUCGACCCGUCU